AACUCGAGUUUGCUUCAUUGAUGAAAUCUAUAUAUGAUUUAAGGGGUAGUCCAAAGGAACUGUGAAUAACAAGAACACUGAAAGAAGAAAAGCAAACAAAGUCGCAUAAAGAUGAUUGAAUUAUACAAGUCUAAACUAUCGUUAACCAUUCUUCUACCUACAAACCCUAACUUCACUUCUUAACCCUAGAAGAAGCCCUCUUUGCUGGAGACUUAACCGUCUUUGGCUUCACAACCUUCUUAACCGGAGUCUUCUUCUUUGUGGCCACCGUAGCAACUUUCUUCGUGGCAGCAACAGCUUUCUUAGCCGGAGAUGUAACCUUGGCCGUUUUGGCUGCCUUGGCUGGUCUAGCCUUAGCCUUGGGCUUCGCAUCAACAGCUUUCCUCUUAGUUGCAGCAGCAGUGGCACGAGGAACGGGCUUAGCCUUAGCCUUCGCGGUCACUUUCUUAGCAGCAGCAGUCUUAGGUUUAACGGCGAUUGUUUU